rnacentral:rRNA from 1 species
UACAGAGAGUGCAAACGUUGUUCGGAAUUACUGGGCGUAAAGCGCACGUAGGCGGAUUUGUUAGUCAGGGGUGAAAUCCCGGGGCUCAACCUCGGAACUGCCUUUGAUACUGCAAGUCUCGAGUCCGAUAGAGGUGGGUGGAAUUCCUAGUGUAGAGGUGAAAUUCGUAGAUAUUAGGAAGAACACCGGUGGCGAAGGCGGCCCACUGGAUCGGUACUGACGCUGAGGUGCGAAAGCGUGGGGAGCAAACAGG